rnacentral:piRNA from 1 species
UGCUCAUCCGUGUGAUGGACUGUGAC